rnacentral:rRNA from 1 species
CCUACGGGUGGCAGCAGUGAGGAAUAUUGGUCAAUGGACGAGAGUCUGAACCAGCCAAGUAGCGUGAAGGAUGACUGCCCUAUGGGUUGUAAACUUCUUUUAUAUGGGAAUAAAACGUUCCACGUGUGGGAUUUUGUAUGUACCAUAUGAAUAAGGAUCGUCUAACUCCGUGCCAGCAGCCGCGGUAAUACGGAGGAUCCGAGCGUUAUCCGGAUUUAUUGGGUUUAAAGGGAGCGUAGGUGGAUUGUUAAGUCAGUUGUGAAAGUUUGCGGCUCAACCGUAAAAUUGCAGUUGAAACUGGCAGUCUUGAGUACAGUAGAGGUGGGCGGAAUUCGUGGUGUAGCGGUGAAAUGCUUAGAUAUCACGAAGAACUCCGAUUGCGAAGGCAGUUCACUGGACUGCAACUGACACUGAGGCUCGAAAGUGUGGGUAUCAAACAGGAUUAGAUACCCUUGUAGUC